rnacentral:rRNA from 1 species
UACGAAGGGGGCUAGCGUUGCUCGGAAUGACUGGGCGUAAAGGGCGCGUAGGCGGAUUGUACAGUCAGGCGUGAAAUUCCCGGGCUCAACCUGGGGGCUGCGCUUGAGACGUGCGAUCUUGAGUGGGGAAGAGGGUCGUGGAAUUCCCAGUGUAGAAGGUGAAAUUCGUAGAUAUUGGGAAGAACACCGGUGGCGAAGGCGGCGACCUGGUCCUUGACUGACGCUGAGGCGCGAAAGCGUGGGGAGCAAACAGG